GUGCUCACUUGGGCAGCUCAUGUACUAAAAUUGGAACCACACAGAGAAGAUUAGCAUGCUCCUGUCUAAGGAUGACGUUCGAAUUCACAAAAUGUUACCUUUUCCC